CGCGGCUCAACCGCCCGCCCACUGCGGAGGGAACGACGCGCACGCGGACGGACGCGCAGGAUGAGUGGACGCACGCACGGACACGCGGGUGUCAAGCCGCUGGGGCAGGAGUGACAGCAUUGGCACCGCGAAUGAUGAUGCCAUCGCUCAUUAGGCCAAAGACAGAGACGCAGGCAGAGCACGGAGCCCUCGCGAGACGCUGGACCGGGGCGGAUUUCCGCCGUGGCCGAGGCGACGCGCGAUGGCUCCGCUCCCUCGAGCACAAAUCGCGCUGUUCGUGUUUUCCAACACAAGCACACGUGUCCUGGAGGCCCAGCACAGGUUCAAGAUGCUACUCGCCACUGAUGUUGCCCAUGGCCGGGAGUCGAACUCUGCCACCCACCCCGCGAUCACCACCGAUCUCAACGCGGCUUGACAAAUCUCAUCCCCAAAAACCCUAACCAACCCACUGAUCAGCACACAUGAAAACACAGUAUUACAGGAGCAGCAACACCUAACUGAUCGACAACCAUCACAAUAUUAAAAUAUGAUCACAUCCCCCCCACACUCCCCCGUUACAGCUUCUCUCAUGCUCUGCCCAUCUUACACGGCGCCUCCACAGGCUAAUUUGCGUAACAAUGAGGAGCCGAGGCUAAUUAAUGCCGGUGAGGGCGAAGUGGUGGGGUGACGCUGUGACCCCGAGCCUCCUCUGUAUUUGUGCGCCCGUUAAAUUUAAAUUUCCAGUAGAAACAAAAAAAUACGAAUGUCAUAUUUUUGUUGUUGCACGGUUGUUGUU